rnacentral:lncRNA from 1 species
UCGGCGACUAAACAAUGGAAACUCUCUGGUAAGGGGUUUUCAUCGGCGACCCAAAACUUAGGGUUCCGGCGCAGCAGGCACGUCAAAAACGGGAUCUCCAUCAUGCAUUCACAUCAAAGAUGAAUUUGGAAAAGAAAACUGAACGUGUGUUGGAAAUAGUGGAGUCAAGGACAGCAACUAGCAAACCACCAAACUAGAGAAUGAUGGAUCUUCAAGAAU